UCAAGAACAAAAAUAUUAAUUAUAUAUUUAAUUCAUUUCUUUUCAAUAUUAUUGUGAAUAUUUACAGAUUAAAAAUGAAUUAAAAUAAAAUUUGGGUGGAAGAAACUUUAGUCCCUUAAUUAAUAUCCUUUUGAAGAUUAAACUUUUCUUUGGCAGCAGUUCAUAGGUGGAUCCCUACUCUCACUAAUUUGUGAUUAAACAAAUUUUAUAUUACAAGGAGCAAAGACUACUACUUACUUUCUUCUUGAAAUAGUUAUUGGUUCAUAGUACUAUGCUUGAGAGUUCAUAGCUCACGGUCACUUGGUUACUGAAUUGGCUUCGUAUUAGGACCCUAUUGAGUCCAAACCUACCGAGGUUGGUCAUGGUUCUGGUUCAUUACUGUAACAGUGAAGUCCUAGCUUCCACAACUAUCUAGUCCUUCACCUCUGCCUGUUUCAACAAUUUCUGGUGAUGGAAUCAGACUGCCAAGUUCUCAUUCUUAUAAAUUCUAUACUGGCUCUUAUCUAGGCAAAGAUUUGUGAUCAUCAUUUUUAUGUUUUUUUUACUGUUCUCAAAUCAUGAUUAAGAUGUGAACAUGGCCUGGCUUCAAGUUUCAUGAUCGGUGUAUUACUCUGAAAUUGAAUCAUUUAUGCUUUGUGGAUGAUCUUUUACUUUUCUGUAAUAGUAAUUAUAUUUCAAUCAUUCUUAUGUUGAGGGGUUUGAAAUUAUUCUCAUUAACACCACAGAUGCAUCCUAAUGCUGCAAAGACUUCAGUGUACUGUCAUGGCAUGUCUGAAUUAGAAGUGGAUCGGGUGCUUAAUGUUUCUGGUUACGCUCGCAGCUAUCUCUCAUUUAGGGCCGGCCCCAAAAUUAGUUGCUUGGGAUAAUAUUUACUUAUCGGAGUCAGCCGGUGGCUUGGGUUUUCGAAGAAGACAUGAUUGGAAUGGGAAAGUAUGUUUGGGAUAUUGCAAAGAAGAAAGACAAUCUGUUUGUCAAGUGACCUGACAGUGUUUACUUGAUGAAUCAAGAUUGGAAGGAUUACCAAUGUCCCAAUGACUGUAGAUGGUACUGGAAACGUAUAGUCUCUGUGAAUGAUAUAUUCAAAUCCAAAGUCUCCUUUGGAGUUUUCCUCUCUCAGAACUAUACCAUUAAAACUGGUGUAGAACUGAUGGCUCCUCAAGAAGUGGAAAUAUCAUGGAGGAAGUUUGAUUGGGAUAGGCUCAUUACUCCCAAGCACUGGUUCAUUAUGUGGAUUUUCAUGGAGCAAAGAUUAAACACUAAAGACUGAGUUGCCAAAUACAAUCCCAACAUGUCUACUUCGUGGAGAUGGAAAUGAAAACAUAGAACACAUUUACAUACAAUAAGAGGUGUUUGGAGGUGAUUAAGGAUUGACUCAAGUGGAGGGCUAAGUCUAAUAUUCUUGGCCGAUUACUCCAUUGAAUUUCUCAUGCAAAGCACACAUCGAAAACUCAUAAGCGCAUAUUGUUAGCUAUUCUUACUAGCUUGUAAUGUGGUUUUUUCUAGGUGUACAGGGGAUGGAUACUGUUAGAAUUGUCAAGUAUAUGGAGUGAAGCUAGAGUUGAUUGAGCAAUAUAAUGAUCUUAUAUUUCAUUAAAAAGAAACUCACUUAUCCAACACUCCAAACAUAAAUUGUUUUUUCUAAUUUUUUUAUUUUAGAAAAAUAGAAUUUUUUUCCAUUAAAUAA